CUCUCGAAUGAACCAUUGAAUACAUUUUUGCGAUAUUCCUACCUUAAGAAUACUUUUUUUUUAACGAAUCCAAUAAAUGAAAGAACGUAUCACGCGCCACCCAGCAGACUGUCAACCAAAAUUAUUCACGUUGUUAUGCUGCGUCACACGGUUGCUAAGCUAAUCAUCAUGCAAUCCCUUAUCGAAGUCAAUGUACAGUAUAUCUACGUGCCUAUUUUCCUCGAAAUAACAUAAUAAUGUUUUGUACUUGUUGAAAAAAUGUGUGCUAAUGUUGUGUUUUUGAGCUAGCGCCCAAUAGACUGCACAGAAGGUUGGUGGCACCUUAAUUGGAGACGACAGGCUCGUGUUAAUGCCUGGAUUGUAAUAGUAUUAAACACAUCAAACACAUGGGUUCCAAUUGUUUGAUGCAAUUCCAUUAGCUCCUUUCUAGACAUUAUUAUGAGCCGUCCUCUGCUCAGCAACCUCCACUUAUAGACUCCAAUUCACUCCUUGUCCCAGAAUCGCCCAAAAUGCACUGCAGAGUCCGUUGACGGAGUAUGGGAAACGUUUCCCAUCUCCUCAUAAGUAUGUCUGCCAUAGUGAAUGUCAGACCUCACUCUGAAGCACAUCGAUCUGCACGUUGAACAUGGCCUCUCAAAGAUAAAUGCAUGUCGGUGCCACAAGAGGGUGCAAGGACCUUACAGUAACAGUCUUUUCUGAGGCCAGGAUAAAACCCCAAUUUGUGGUCGAUCUGGCAUCUACGGCGUGAAGGGUCCAUGCGGCGCCAGAGAUUAUGAUGCAGUUGCAGUGAACGUUGGCUGUACAGAAGAUCCGUGCCUAACUCCAUGCACCUCCCAAAAUUGUACAGCUCUGGAGUGUCAGAAACUGCAGAGCUGUGCCAGGAAUUCACCCUGACAAAAACGGACACCCAAAACAAAACGUCUCUCAUCGAAUGGCUUGUGACAGUCCUCUGCAGCAGUUACCUCCACUGGUACCUUCACAAAGAGGGAGAGACUUUGAGGAGGAUGCUGUACAUGGCAACUGCUGAUGAGAGAACACAGGAGAUGAGACCCCAAAAUAAACAAUGGAUGAGUGACCCUGGCGUUGAGGAAGUCGCAGCAGAGAAAGUGGGAUCCAGUAUGUACACUCUGAAAAUUCCUGAAAUAUUAACCAAUCACUCAACCACCUACUACUGUGUCUACUGGGAUUCCCAAAGUGUUUAACUACAAGACAAAUCCUGUAUCAAAACUGAUGUUACCGUAGUUUGUUUGAUUCUGAAUUAGAGACCAUGUAGCACUCUCUGCCCAACUUUCUGCUUCAAAUUAUAUAACAUCUGCAAGAUAAAAAAAAAAUAUGCUGGAUUUUCUCACAAUUAAAGCUGGUGCUUCUUAAAACAUUUAGUUUAAAAGCAUAACAUUGCAUAAUUGGCGGCUCCCGAUUAAUAGAGUUCACAAGAGCUCUAACUGGUGGCAUGUUGCGUCAUCAAUUAUAUAGAAAAGUAUAUUUUCCCAAAUUGGUAAAGCUUUUUAGUGCAAAGUGACAAGAUGCGCAUCUUGCAUGUGAGCACUAUAUCUCCAAACGAGUGACAAUUGGUAGCGGUUAUAUUCCGCAACAUUUUGAGAGAUGAAAGACAACUUUGACAGUAUUACAAACACUUACAACAUCUGGUUUCUAGUAGGCAGAAUUAGAGAAGGACCUAUUCAUUCUAGGAGGGACCACCAUUGGGGGGGGGGGGGGGAGUACUCAUGUUUACGCAGCUGAAUAUAACCCUUAAAAUACUUUGAACCACCUUUAUUUUUUUAUUACAAUUCUGAAAAUCUACAAUAACAAUUGACCAACCCUAGUAAUCAUUGAAAGUGAUGUGUGUUACAGUUUUCUUCCAUCGAAGGAGAGUCGGACCAAAAUGCAGCGUGGUAAGUUAGAUACAUGUUAAUAACGAAGAAAAAACGAACAAUACAAAACACAAACGGACCGUGAAAACCUAUACAGCCUAUCUGGUGACAACUAACACAAAGACAGGAACAAUCACCACGAAACACUCAAAGAAUAUGGCUGCCUAAAUAUGGUUCCCAAUCAGAGACAACGAGAAUCACCUCCCCUGAUUGAGAACUGCCUCUGAUUAGAACCGCCUCAGGCAACCAUAGACUUUGCUAGAACACCCCACUAAGCCACAAUCCCAAAACCUACGAAAAACCCCCAUACAUAAACACAACACAAAAUAAACCCAUGUCACACCCUGGCCUGACCAAAUACAUAUAGAAAACACAAAAUACUAAGACCUGGGCGUGACAGAACCCCCCCCCCCCCCACAAGGUGCGGACUCCCGGCCGCACACCUAAACCCAUAGGGGAGGGUCCGGUGGGCGUCUGUCCACGUGGCGGCUCGGGACGUGGACCCCACUCCAACCAAGUCUUAGUCCCCCUGUAACGCAUCCUUUGCUAGAACGUGGACCCCACUCCAACCAAGUCUUAGUCCCCCUGUAACGCGACCAUAGACUUUGCUAGAACACCCCACUAAGCCACAAUCCCAAAACCUACGAAAAACCCCCAUACAUAAACACAACACAAAAUAAACCCAUGUCACACCCUGGCCUGACCAAAUAAAUAUAGAAAACACAAAAUACUAAGACCAGGGCGUGACAAUGUGACAUUGUAGCAGUAAGCUGUUUUAAUUAUCCUUUAUACAUCUGUUAUUCUUGAUUUCAAUAUGGAAGGAAAACCAGGUACUGGUGUUUUGUAUUAACUGUUUCUUGUUGAGUAAAAUACAUAAUUAUGUACUAAAUUUGAAUCAUUGUGUUAUUCCUAUUCCAUAUUUUUGUGUUCCCCAACUAUGAAAGGGGGGCAUGAGUGAAACAUUUUGGGAUUGGCUUCUCUUUGGUUUAGGGGUUAAUGAUAGUCAGAAUAAAAACAACGAGGAAGAUCAGAAAACAAGGAAUGGCAUGUUCAGUAGAAUAGAUUCGGAAUAAUUCCAACAUCAAAGUUUUUUUUCUAUGGAGUCCAAAGGUAUUUCAAUAUUAUGAAGAGUGUGGGCUGCCCCCUUGUUUAUGUCUGAUCAUACAAUUUCAGUUUUACGUUUCUAUUUAAUGGAAAUCACACAAACCAAGCCUGGGCCCUCACUCAAUUUACCUGUAUGUCAUACUAAAUGUGAACGUCCAUACUUUAUGAAAUGAUCUUAUCGGUAUGCAGGAAUAAAGUUUUGUAAAUCACCCAUUUUGAAAGAACAAUUAACAAUUCAUUUGAACCAUACGUAAUAACAGCGUCAUAAUAGUGUAGUAAUCAUUCCCUAAACAAAUUACCUGAAUAUCAAGACACAAUACAUUCGGAAACUGUUAUGACCGCUGUUAUGACAUAUUGGAUUAAAUGGUUUGCUGUAGCUAAAGUGUUAGGACACCUGUCAUAACUGUGUCAUAGUGAGAAGUAUCAUAACAUUAGAAGAAGAAAAAAAGUCUUCAUACUUUGUAGUUAAAAUGGUCUAGUAAAAAGCAUGAGCUGACACACACCCUGUAAUGUUUUUAGAGGUGCUGCCUAAUGAAGAGUAAACUGUAAUAAAAAUAGUCACUCCAGGUUUACCC
ensembl:lncRNA